UGGGGAAUUUUGGACAAUGGGGGAAACCCUGAUCCAGCCAUCCCGCGUGUGCGAUGAAGGCCUUCGGGUUGUAAAGCACUUUUGGCAGGAAAGAAACGUCACGGGUUAAUACCCCGCGAAACUGACGGUACCUGCAGAAUAAGCACCGGCUAACUACGUGCCAGCAGCCGCGGUAAUACGUAGGGUGCAAGCGUUAAUCGGAAUUACUGGGCGUAAAGCGUGCGCAGGCGGUUCGGAAAGAAAGAUGUGAAAUCCCAGAGCUUAACUUUGGAACUGCAUUUUUAACUACCGGGCUAGAGUGUGUCAGAGGGAGGUGGAAUUCCGCGUGUAGCAGUGAAAUGCGUAGAUAUGCGGAGGAACACCGAUGGCGAAGGCAGCCUCCUGGGAUAACACUGACGCUCAUGCACGAAAGCGUGGGGAGCAAACAGGAUUAGAUACCCUGGUAGUCCACGCCCUAAACGAUGUCAACUAGCUGUUGGGGCCUUCGGGCCUUGGUAGCGCAGCUAACGCGUGAAGUUGACCGCCUGGGGAGUACGGUCGCAAGAUUAAAACUUAAAGGAAUUG
rnacentral:rRNA from 1 species